rnacentral:tRNA from 1 species
GCCGGUUUAGCUCUAACAGUAGAGCAGUCUCCUUGUAAGCGAAUUGGUAGCGGUUCAAAUCCGUUAACCGGCACCA